rnacentral:rRNA from 1 species
UAACACAUGCAAGUCGAGGGGCAGCGGGGAGGAAGCUUGCUUUCUCCGCCGGCGACCGGCGCACGGGUGAGUAACACGUAUGCAACCUGCCCCUGUCAGGGGGACAACCCGCCGAAAGGCGGGCUAAACCCGCGUACAUGCCACCGGGGCAUCCCGGAGGCAGGAAAGGCUUCGGCCGGACAGGGAUGGGCAUGCGGCGCAUUAGGCAGUAGGCGGGGUAACGGCCCACCUAACCGACGAUGCGUAGGGGUUCUGAGAGGAAGGUCCCCCACACUGGUACUGAGACACGGACCAGACUCCUACGGGAGGCAGCAGUGAGGAAUAUUGGUCAAUGGUCGGGAGACUGAACCAGCCAAGCCGCGUGAGGGAGGAAGGUACAGAGUAUCGUAAACCUCUUUUGUCAGGGAACAAAGACUGGGACGCGUCCCCGGAUGAGUGUACCUGAAGAAAAAGCAUCGGCUAACUCCGUGCCAGCAGCCGCGGUAAUACGGAGGAUGCGAGCGUUAUCCGGAUUUAUUGGGUUUAAAGGGUGCGCAGGCGGUCUGUUAAGUCAGCGGUCAAAGCCCGGGGCUCAACCCCGGCCCGCCGUUGAAACUGGCAGUCUCGAGUUGGAGAGAAGUAUGCGGAAUGCGCGGUGUAGCGGUGAAAUGCAUAGAUAUCGCGCAGAACUCCGAUUGCGAAGGCAGCAUGCCGGCUCCACACUGACGCUGAGGCACGAAAGCGUGGGUAUCGAACAGGAUUAGAUACCCUGGUAGUCCACGCAGUAAACGAUGAAUGCUGGCUGUCCGGGGGGACUGACCCCUGGGUGGCGAAGCGAAAGCGAUAAGCAUUCCACCUGGGGAGUACGCCGGCAACGGUGAAACUCAAAGGAAUUGACGGGGGCCCGCACAAGCGGAGGAACAUGUGGUUUAAUUCGAUGAUACGCGAGGAACCUUACCCGGGCUCAAACGGGGAGUGGCGCAGGCAGAGACGCCUGUUUCCCACGGGACACUCCCCGAGGUGCUGCAUGGUUGUCGUCAGCUCGUGCCGUGAGGUGUCGGCUUAAGUGCCAUAACGAGCGCAACCCCCGCGUGCAGUUGCUAACAGUCAACGCUGAGGACUCUGCACGGACUGCCGGCGCAAGCCGCGAGGAAGGCGGGGAUGACGUCAAAUCAGCACGGCCCUUACGUCCGGGGCGACACACGUGUUACAAUGGGUGGUACAGCGGGAAGCCAGGCGGCGACGCCGAGCGGAACCCGAAAUCCACUCUCAGUUCGGAUCGGAGUCUGCAACCCGACUCCGUGAAGCUGGAUUCGCUAGUAAUCGCGCAUCAGCCAUGGCGCGGUGAAUACGUUCCCGGGCCUUGUACUCACCGCCCGUCA